CCAAAAUUAGAAAGGGGGAAGCCAUAGUUAGGGUUUUCAAGCUUCCAAGCUCCAUAAUCAAGAAGAACGAAAUUCAGGGUUAGACCGAGGAAAGAAAACGGUUGAAGACUAAGUUGAUAAAUUUGGCCAUAUUUUGUAUUGAGUAUUGCAAAGCUAAUUCGGGGAUCUUAAAGAUGUCAAAGAGCGCUCACACUAUCAACAACAACAACUCGGUAUUUUAUGAUGAUCAAUGUUUGAGCUAUGGUAUGUGUAGGGACUUAGUCAUUUUGAAUGUAUGUCCUUAUGAUAUUGCUAAAGGAUGAUGUGUAAAUAUGUGAUAAUGUUUAGCUAUUAAAAUGGCUAAGUAAGAAUAUGUUUGGUAUUAUGAAUGCCUAGGUGAUAGUUUAUACCUAGAAAUUAUGAAAGAGUAAAAAUUUACAAUGAAACAGUUUUGGGACAGCA